UUUACAACGAAGAGUUUGAUCCUGGCUCAGGAUGAACGCUAGCGGGAGGCUUAACACAUGCAAGUCGAGGGGCAGCAUUUCUAGCUUGCU
rnacentral:rRNA from 1 species